GACGAACGCUGGCGGCGUGCUUAACACAUGCAAGUCGAACGGAAAGGCCCUGCUUUUGUGGGGUGCUCGAGUGGCGAACGGGUGAGUAACACGCGAGUAACCUGCCCUUGACUUUGGGAUAACUUCAGGAAACUGGGGCUAAUACCGGAUAGGAGCUCCUGCUGCAUGGUGGGGGAUGGAAAGUUUCGGCGGUUGGGGAUGGACUCGCGGCUUAUCAGCUUGUUGGUGGGGUAGUGGCUUACAAAGGCUUUGACGGGUAGCCGGCCUGAGAGGGUGACCGGCCACAUUGGUACUGAGAUACGGCCCAGACUCCUACGGGAGGCAGCAGUGGGGAAUAUUGCGCAAUGGGCGGAAGCCUGAGGCAGCAACGCCGCGUGCGGAAUGACGGCCUUCGGGUUGUAAACCGCUUUCGCCUUUGACGAAGCGUGAGUGACGGUAAUGGGUAAAGAAGCACCGGCUAACUACGUG
rnacentral:rRNA from 1 species